AACGAACGCUGGCGGCGGGCUUAACACAUGCAAGUCGAGCGCCCCGCAAGGGGAGCGGCAGACGGGUGAGUAACGCGUGGGAAUCUACCCAUCUCUACGGAAUAAUGCAUGGAAACGUGUGCUAAUACCGUAUACGCCCUUCGGGAGAAAGAUUUAUCGGAGAUGGAUGAGCCCGCGUUGGAUUAGCUAGUUGGUGGGGUAAAGGCCUACCAGGGCGACGAUCCAUAGCUGGUCUGAGAGGAUGAUCAGCCACACUGGGACUGAGACACGGCCCAGACUCCUACGGGAGGCAGCAGUGGGGAAUAUUGGACAAUGGGCGCAAGCCUGAUCCAGCCAUGCCGCGUGAGUGAUGAAGGCCCUAGGGUUGUAAAGCUCUUUCACCGGUGAAGAUAAUGACGGUAACCGGAGAAGAAGCCCCGGCUAACUUCGUGCCAGCCGCCGCCGUAACAC
rnacentral:rRNA from 1 species